GCCGGGUGUGAUGGCUCACGCCUGUAAUCCCAGAACUUUGGGAGGCUGAGGUGGGUGGAUCACUUGAGGUCAGGAGUUCAAGACCAGCCUGGCCAAGAUGGUGAAACUCCAUCUCUA
rnacentral:SRP_RNA from 1 species